AACGAACGCUGGCGGCAGGCUUAACACAUGCAAGUCGAACGCUCGUAGCAAUACGGGAGUGGCAGACGGGUGAGUAACACGUGGGAACAUACCCUUCGGUACGGAACAACUUGGGGAAACUCGAGCUAAUACCGUAUACGACCUUUUGGUGAAAGAUUGAUCGCCGGAGGAUUGGCCCGCGUCCGAUUAGCUAGUUGGUGGGGUAACGGCUCACCAAGGCGACGAUCGGUAGCUGGUCUGAGAGGAUGGCCAGCCACAUUGGGACUGAGACACGGCC
rnacentral:rRNA from 1 species